rnacentral:rRNA from 1 species
CAGCCGCCACGGGAAUACGAAGGGUGCAAGCGUUACUCGGAAUUACUGGGCGUAAAGCGUGCGUAGGUGGUGGUUUAAGUCCGCUGUGAAAGCCCUGGGCUCAACCUGGGAAUUGCAGUGGAUACUGGGUCACUAGAGUGUGGUAGAGGAUAGUGGAAUUUCCGGUGUAGCAGUGAAAUGCGUAGAGAUCGGAAGGAACAUCUGUGGCGAAGGCGACUAUCUGGGCCAACACUGACACUGAGGCACGAAAGCGUGGGGAGCAAACAGGAUUAGAUACCCCUGUAGUCCCUGUCUCUUAUAC